rnacentral:tRNA from 1 species
UCUUUACAAUUUAAUAAAGUUGUUUUAUUGGGGCAAUAAGAAACAAGAAUGUUUUUAAAAUUU